UUUGGUGCUCGUGAUUUCCGAAGGGAUUCAUCCUUCAGUCGAGGUGGUACUGACUACUACGGUGUGGGGAACAUGGGAAAUAACUAUGGUGCUUCUGGUGGUUAUGGCGGAGCUUCUGGUCCUGGUGUGACUAGUGCGUGGGACUAACAACCUACAGUUUGGCUAUUGCAAAAUGCAGUUUUAUCUUAGCAAACUUCUGUUCUUAGAGGGGAAUCUAUUGGCUUUUGUUUUUUCGAAUUCCACUUUUCAGCAUUGAAGUCCUUCGGUUGAACCCCCAUCCCCGAUUGAGGGUGGGUUGAUAUGGGGAAUAAGGAUUGAGAUGUUCGAUGUUGGCAAGCAAUGGAGAGAGAAUUACUAACGGUCGAGGUGGUACUGACUACUACGGUGUGGGGAACAUGGGAAAUAACUAUGGUGCUUCUGGUCCUGGUGUGACUAGUGCGUGGGACUAACAACCUACAGUUUGGCUAUUGCAAAAUGCAGUUUUAUCUUAGCAAACUUCUGUUCUUAGAGGGGAAUCUAUUGGCUUUUGUUUUUUCGAAUUCCACUUUUCAGCAUUGAAGUCCUUCGGUUGAACCCCCAUCCCCGAUUGAGGGUGGGUUGAU
rnacentral:lncRNA from 1 species